GACGCUGGCGGCGUGCUUAACACAUGCAAGUCGAGCGAUGAAGCUUCUUCGGAAGUGGAUUAGCGGCGGACGGGUGAGUAACACGUGGGUAACCUGCCUCAUAGAGGGGAAUAGCCUUCCGAAAGGAAGAUUAAUAUCGCAUAAGAUUGUAAUAUCGCAUGAUAUAGCAAUUAAAGGAGUAAUCCGCUAUGAGAUGGACCCGCGUCGCAUUAGCUAGUUGGUGAGGUAACGGCUCACCAAGGCGACGAUGCGUAGCCGACCUGAGAGGGUGAUCGGCCACAUUGGGACUGAGACACGGCCCAGACUCCUACGGGAGGCAGCAGUGGGGAAUAUUGCACAAUGGGGGAAACCCUGAUGCAGCAAACCGCCGCGUGAGUGAUGACGGUCUUCGGAUUGUAAAGCUCUGUCUUCAGGGACGAUAAUGACGGUACCUGAGGAGGAAGCCACGGCUAACUACGUGCCAGCAGCUGC
rnacentral:rRNA from 1 species